AAUACUUCAUUUAGUUCCAUGAACAAAAUCUAAAGUUGACUUAUAGACAGGUACAAAAAAAUCAAUCCUCUUUUGCAAUCCGGAACUCAUUUUUCAGUAUAAGUUUUACUAUAAGAAGGGGUAUU
rnacentral:snoRNA from 1 species